UAGCAUAUCAAUAAGCGGAGGAAAAGAAACCAACAGGGAUUGUCUUAGUAACGGCGAGUGAAGCGACAAAAGCUCAAAUUUGAAAAUCUGGCGCCUUUGGUGCCCGAGUUGUAAUUUGAAGAAGGUAACUUUGGGGGCAGCUCUUGUCUAUGUUUCUUGGAACAGAACGUCACAGAGGGUGAGAAUCCCGUGCGAUGAGAGAAAUGCUUCCGUGUAAAGUGCUUUCGAAGAGUCGAGUUGUUUGGGAAUGCAGCUCUAAGUGGGUGGUAAAUUCCAUCUAAAGCUAAAUAUUGGCGAGAGACCGAUAGCGAACAAGUACAGUGAUGGAAAGAUGAAAAGAACUUUGAAAAGAGAGUGAAAAAGUACGUGAAAUUGUUGAAAGGGAAGGGCUUGAGAUCAGACUUUGUAUUUUGCGACCUUUUCUUCGGAGGGGGCCCCCGCAGUUUACAGGGCCAGCAUCAGUUUGGGUGGUGGGAGAAUGGCGGCGGAAUGUAGCUUGGCUCGCCAAGUGUUAUAGACGCUGCUGAUACCGCUUGCCCAGACUGAGGACUGCGUCUUUUUGACUAGGAUGCUGGCAUAAUGAUCCCCAGCCGCCCGUCUUGAAACACGGACCAAGGAGUCUAACGUCUAUGCGAGUGUUUGGGUGUAAAACCCGUACGCGGAAUGAAAGUGAACGCAGAUGAGAGCCUUUACGGGUGCAUCAUCGACCGAUCCUGAUGAUUUCGGAUGGAUUUGAGUAAGAGCAUAGCUGUUGGGACCCGAAAGAUGGUGAACUAUGCCUGAAUAGGGUGAAGCCAGAGGAAACUCUGGUGGAGGCUCGUAGCGGUUCUGACGUGCAAAUCGAUCGUCGAAUUUGGGUAUAGGGGCGAAAGACUAAUCGAACCAUCUAGUAGCUGGUUCCUGCCGAU
rnacentral:rRNA from 1 species